GCUCAGGACGAACGCUGGCGGCGUGCCUAAUACAUGCAAGUAGAACGCUGAAGAGAGGAGCUUGCUCUUCUUGGAUGAGUUGCGAACGGGUGAGUAACGCGUAGGUAACCUGCCUUGUAGCGGGGGAUAACUAUUGGAAACGAUAGCUAAUACCGCAUAACAAUGGAUGACACAUGUCAUUUAUUUGAAAGGGGCAAUUGCUCCACUACAAGAUGGACCUGCGUUGUAUUAGCUAGUAGGUGAGGUAAUGGCUCACCUAGGCGACGAUACAUAGCCGACCUGAGAGGGUGAUCGGCCACACUGGGACUGAGACACGGCCCAGACUCCUACGGGAGGCAGCAGUAGGGAAUCUUCGGCAAUGGGGGCAACCCUGACCGAGCAACGCCGCGUGAGUGAAGAAGGUUUUCGGAUCGUAAAGCUCUGUUGUAAGUCAAGAACGGGUGUGAGAGUGGAAAGUUCACACUGUGACGGUAGCUUACCAGAAAGGGACGGCUAACUACGUGCCAGCAGCCGCGGUAAUACGUAGGUCCCGAGCGUUGUCCGGAUUUAUUGGGCGUAAAGCGAGCGCAGGCGGUUUGAUAAGUCUGAAGUUAAAGGCUGUGGCUCAACCAUAGUUCGCUUUGGAAACUGUCAAACUUGAGUGCAGAAGGGGAGAGUGGAAUUCCAUGUGUAGCGGUGAAAUGCGUAGAUAUAUGGAGGAACACCGGUGGCGAAAGCGGCUCUCUGGUCUGUAACUGACGCUGAGGCUCGAAAGCGUGGGGAGCGAACAGGAUUAGAUACCCUGGUAGUCCACGCCGUAAACGAUGAGUGCUAGGUGUUGGAUCCUUUCCGGGAUUCAGUGCCGCAGCUAACGCAUUAAGCACUCCGCCUGGGGAGUACGACCGCAAGGUUGAAACUCAAAGGAAUUGACGGGGGCCCGCACAAGCGGUGGAGCAUGUGGUUUAAUUCGAAGCAACGCGAAGAACCUUACCAGGUCUUGACAUCCCGAUGCUAUUUCUAGAGAUAGAAAGUUACUUCGGUACAUCGGUGACAGGUGGUGCAUGGUUGUCGUCAGCUCGUGUCGUGAGAUGUUGGGUUAAGUCCCGCAACGAGCGCAACCCCUAUUGUUAGUUGCCAUCAUUCAGUUGGGCACUCUAGCGAGACUGCCGGUAAUAAACCGGAGGAAGGUGGGGAUGACGUCAAAUCAUCAUGCCCCUUAUGACCUGGGCUACACACGUGCUACAAUGGUUGGUACAACGAGUUGCGAGUCGGUGACGGCGAGCUAAUCUCUUAAAGCCAAUCUCAGUUCGGAUUGUAGGCUGCAACUCGCCUACAUGAAGUCGGAAUCGCUAGUAAUCGCGGAUCAGCACGCCGCGGUGAAUACGUUCCCGGGCCUUGUACACACCGCCCGUCACACCACGAGAGUUUGUAACACCCGAAGUCGGUGAGGUAACCUUUUGGAGCCAGCCGCCUAAGGUGGGAC
rnacentral:rRNA from 1 species